GACGAACGCUGGCGGCGUGCUUAACACAUGCAAGUCGAACGGAAAGGCUCCAGCUUGCUGGAGUACUCGAGUGGCGAACGGGUGAGUAACACGUGGGUAAUCUGCCCUGCACUCUGGGAUAAGCCUGGGAAACUGGGUCUAAUACUGGAUAUGACCUUUCUCCUUAUGGGGUUUGGUGGAAAGUUUUUCGGUGUAGGAUGAGCCCGCGGCCUAUCAGCUUGUUGGUGGGGUGAUGGCCUACCAAGGCUACGACGGGUAGCCGGCCUGAGAGGGUGGUCGGCCACAUUGGGACUGAGAUACGGCCCAGACUCCUACGGGAGGCAGCAGUGGGGAAUAUUGCACAAUGGGCGGAAGCCUGAUGCAGCGACGCCGCGUGAGGGAUGACGGCCUUCGGGUUGUAAACCUCUUUCAGCAGGGACGAAGCGUAAGUGACGGUACCUGCAGAAGAAGCACCGGCUAACUAUGUG
rnacentral:rRNA from 1 species